rnacentral:siRNA from 1 species
AUUCUGCACUCAAAGAUGGUUCUG